UAGCUGCUUAAUAACUUAAAUAUAUGACUAAAAUUCCAAAAAGAAAACAAAAAAAAAAAAAACACACAUGGUGGGUUUUUAAUUGGAAAUUUCGAAAACAAUUCAUAAAACUCUACAAAGAUGGGAGAAUGGGUGGUUAUGGCUUUUGGCCUAAAUGUUUAUUGGGCAUUUGGCCCACCUAAUGCCCGCCCCCUGGUCUAUGAAGUGCUGGUUGCCAUUUAUUGUCUGAUAAGCGACAAUUUCAAUUAUGCGUAUCGACAUGUAUUUAACGCCUAGGCGUUAGCCAUGCGAUUUGUUGGCAUUAGGCAGAAUAUCAAUUGAACUGAAUCGCCAAGAUAAGCAGUCAGUCGCCUAUUCGAAAGGUUGAAUGGUAAUUACAGCAAAUUUCGCAACUGGCAAUUGGUUGCCUACGUCACAGGCGGGCGACACCUACGUCACACACACACAAACACACCACACAGUAGAAAGAAGUCACUGGCAGAGUGCUAAAUUUAGAACCGAAAAUGGAGACGGAGACGGAGACGGAAACGGAGCCGGACAUGGAGUCCGUAGUAGUCCGUUUGUAGUGCCGGCAAUAAACAAAGAGAGAAACAUUUCCCACAGUCCAGCAACACAAAGGUCCCCUUCAUCUAUGCCAUCUACGCAAUCUACUGCCCAUCAUUCUGCAGCUGUGUUGCCACGUACCUCUUCUUCUUUCCACAUAUGAACUGUAUGUUCGGUCGCGUGGAUGAAUUGACUUUUGGGUGGAUGACUCAACCCGCUGAAGUUCUGAAUUAUUAUCCAUCCGCAGACAACUAUUUUACAAAUGAACGUAUAUCGUUCUUUUUUUCCAUUGCUAUCAUUUUUGUCAUUGUUUUCGGCGGAGAGCAGGGGGGGAGGGUGGUGGCAUUAACUUUGAUUAUUCAUUCACUGAAUGGGCAUUAGUCAACGGUUUCCACCACACGCGCCCACCAACGUCUUUCAAGACAAUUGUGAUUUCCCCUUCCCCGGACAACAUUACCAAAAUUGAACAUCAAAGUUCAAUCUCAAUAAACGCUGGCGAUUGAUAAGAUUUGUUCAGUGGAAAACUUGGCCAAAUUACCAGUAAAAUGAGCAUUAAAUCAAAAUUUCUAUUGAUAAUUACUAUUCGCACAAAAUAAGUGGCUAAGCACCAUUCAGUUUCGUUUUUUUGUUUCUUGAUAACAGUGGAACCAAUCAACGAAAAAAAACGAAUGUCAAUUUAAACACUCUGCCUAUUUGCUAACUAGAAUCUUAAGUUGUAAUUUUUUAAUUUAAUAAAUGACUUAAACUGUUGUUAAUUGA